rnacentral:rRNA from 1 species
UACGUAGGUGGCAAGCGUUAUCCGGAUUUACUGGGUGUAAAGGGCGUGUAGGCGGGAUGGUAAGUCAGAUGUGAAAACUAUGGGCUCAACCCAUAGCCUGCAUUUGAAACUAUCGUUCUUGAGUGCCGGAGAGGCAAGCGGAAUUCCUAGUGUAGCGGUGAAAUGCGUAGAUAUUAGGAGGAACACCAGUGGCGAAGGCGGCUUGCUGGACGGUAACUGACGCUGAGGCUCGAAAGCGUGGGGAGCAAACAGG